GGGGAUAUAACUCAAUUGAUAGAGUACUUACCUUGCAUGCAAAAGGUCCUGGGUUCAAUCCCGAGUACCACCA
rnacentral:tRNA from 1 species